GAGGGGUGCAUAGGUACCAACUAUUCAUUAUAAGCUUGGAACACCAUUUAUCAAUCAUCCACCGGUCUGUUGUCCUUAGAUGGUGGCUCCACAAAAUUGCUUCAGCCCUAACCCCUAAUCUUGGCUGUGAAAUCCCUCAAAGCGAGCCUAACAUUAUAAAAACAACUAUGUUUCUUCUCUUCCACAUUUACCAACAACACAAUAACACAAAAACGUUGAAGUGUAGCUUUGGGAUGUCCUGAGGACACAGGAGGUUGCUCAGGAGCACUUUGCCGCUCUCGUGGACGUCGAUCCCAAGCCACUUCUAGAACCGCCUUGCAAACUCACAGCGAAAGAGGGUAUGUGUCGCUGUUUCCAGCUCCACCUGACAAUAGUCACAAGUAGCAUCUUCAACAAUCUUCAACAAUUUUUUUCAACAAGUAACAAAGACAAACACGCGGCUAAAUCGCACACAGCGCCGGCAGCGAGGACCAACGGGGCAGCUGCGAACCCAGAAGGCCAGAACACCGGAUAGAGGAGCAUCAUUUUUUUUCCAGGCGAGACCACACCUCCACAGACAGAGGCCGAGCAUGCCAGCCGGACGAGGACGAGCCUUCGUGUCGUCGAGCAGGGCCCGGCGGCCCGUAGCUUAAGGAGUGGCAUGGACAAACUCUGCAGGAGCCUUGGCGGCAAGACGCUGUCUGCGGCGCGAGGGAGCACCAGGACGCUGACGGCGCGGCAGGAGCAGCGUCAGAGGCUGAGGCUGAAGCGUCAAGCAAAGCAGCAACAGAGACAGCGCAGCGGGGGCAGCAAGCGAUGGGGAGCGCGGUGGCUAGGGGAGCGGAUGCAGCAGGGCGCGCGGCGCAGGGUGGCACUGGCCAUAGGCGAGAAGCGCGAAGGAGGCCGAGAUGACCAGCAGAGCAGGUGUGGGGCGGGACCGAGAGGCUGGCCGCUGGAGAGAGCGAUGGGGCGAUCGCGCUGCGCGCCAGAGGGACUGCCACCAUCGGCAUGUGCAGACGGGCCCGCUCCGAGGCGCGGCAGCACAAUCCGGCACGGCGGCAGCGGAAGCACAGGGGACAGAGGCAAAGCGGGGGGCGGCAGCUUUUGCGAGGGAAGCGCCACCCCACUGGGAUUGGAACGGGGUUGACGGAGCGGCGGGGGGCAGGAGAGCGGGCGGUGGAAGGGGGUCUGUACGCGAGGGAUCGGCAUCUUGCAGGAGGACCGGAUUGCCUGUGGCCGGAGGCGCCACAGGCACAGCACCGCAUGGGGUCGCUCGCGGCAAUCACGCACGAAGUGAUCAGACUUCAGAGGCAAGGCAACGGAAGCCAGCCGAAGGCGAGCCCAACUUCGGCAGUUUCCAGGGAACUGGAGGAGGGAGCGGUUUUGAAGGCGAGGUCGUGGCCUGUAGGUAGGAUUUAGGCGGGGGCGAGUUAAAGCCAGGACGGAGGUCGUUCGGCGCCGACAAGAUGGGCAUUUGCUCCCCCAUCAGCAGCAGCCGAAGGCACAGUCCGAUGUCCCCAUCCAGCACGUCUGGUUGGAGAGCAGUAAUAGCGUCUUCUUCAACCCCCGGCAGCCGAAUUGCAGCAGCAGCCCGCAUGGCGGACGGCAAACAGGGGUGAGGCGUCAACGAGAGGACCCAGCCAGCCUAAGCGGCCCAACCCAACUCAUCUCGAGGCGCCGGAAGCUGCUCCACGCCAGCACCAGCCUCGGUGCAGCGCCGGUUUUUGAAAAGCUGUGCACCAGCGAGACUGUUCUGAAGCUGUCAUCGCCCGACGGCACCUGGUACCCAGCGAGGAAGUAAAGCUGCGUGCCGACGGCGGGCAUGGUGAGGUAGAGCCGCUGGGCUGAGAAGACGGCGAGCGGCGACCGGUCGCGCAGGACGGCAGGAAGACGCCGAUGCUGUAGUGCUGUACUAGCUAGCAGCCGUGGUUGGGCGUCGUCAGCGAGCAUGCCGUCGCCCGGGUGAAGGACUUUCGGGACUAUCAAAAUUUUCACGAAACAACACUGUAAUUUAGAUUAGCUUUUGUGUCCAUUUGAUUCAAUAGUGAGGUUAA